AGUUUCUGACCUAUCAGCUUUAGACGGUAGGGUCUUGGCCUACCGUGGCAAUGACGGGUAACGGGGAAUUAGGGUUCGAUUCCGGAGAGGGAGCCUGAGAAACGGCUACCACAUCUAAGGAAGGCAGCAGGCGCGCAAAUUACCCAAUCUUAAUACAGGGAGGUAGUGACAAGAAAUAACAAUACAGGACUUUUUGGUUUUGUAAUUGGAAUGAGUUAAGUAUAAACCCCUUUACAAGUAUCAAUUGGAGGGCAAGUCUGGUGCCAGCAGCCGCGGUAAUUCCAGCUCCAAUAGCGUAUAUUAAAGUUGUUGCAGUUAAAAAGCUCGUAGUUGGAUUUCUGUUAAUAAUUUAUAUAAAAUAUUUUGAUGAAUAUUUAUAUAAUAUUAACAUAAUUCAUAUUACUAUAUAUUUUAGUAUAUGAAAUUUUACUUUGAGAAAAUUAGAGUGCUUAAAGCAGGCAUAUGCCUUGAAUACUCCAGCAUGGAAUAAUAUUAAAGAUUUUUAUCUUUCUUAUUGGUUCUAAGAUAAGAAUAAUGAUUAAUAGGGACAGUUGGGGGCAUUUGUAUUUAACAGUCAGAGGUGAAAUUCUUAGAUUUGUUAAAGACAAACUAAUGCGAAAGCAUUUGCCAAGGAUGUUUUCAUUAUCAGAACGAAAGUUAGGGG
rnacentral:rRNA from 1 species